CAAGAAAAGAGCCUCUAAACCCAAAGAACAUCCUGAGGAAACAGAGUGUGCUAAUGUCACAGAGACCAGCCGAGUGUACGAGGAGAUCAGAGAGGGUGGCGGACAGAGCAGAUCUCCUCCUGUGGAAAACUCAGUCCAAACCUCAGUUGUCUACAGCUUGGUCCCUGCUGCAGCAUCCCGUCCUCUGAGCAAAACUGAAGACGACUGGAGUGAAGUCGUCUACACUCGGGUUGAUUUUUCCAACAGAUACGCCGCCUCACUCAGCAGCGCCCCCUCUGGUCAUGUGAUCUACUCUGCGCCUCGAAAACGCACUAAUGCCAGAAUAGUUUCGUAGUCUCUGGAGUCACCUGUGUCAACUUCACCCCAGCAGUUGCUUUAAAACUACUGACAUCCUGUUUACUCCCUGAGUGACAAACAGGCCAACACAGUAAUGAUGAUUAUGUUAAUAAUUAACCCCAGAGAAGUGUUUGAAGCUCUGGAAACCAAAUGUCUUAAUGUGCAAUUG